GGGAUACUGGUAUCUCGAGAGAGUCAUGGCAGGAGAUACAUGCUGGAGCUGAGGACGUAGUAGAGACAGCAGAAAAGGAAAAGGCAGAUAGCUGAUGUUUUGAAAAGGAAGAGCAUUUGGGCCACUCUA
rnacentral:lncRNA from 1 species